rnacentral:rRNA from 1 species
AUUGAACGCUGGCGGCAGGCCUAACACAUGCAAGUCGAGCGCGCGGCGGCCGGGUGAGUCAUGUAUGGGGAUCUGCCUGAUGGAGGGGGAUAACUCCUGGAAACGGUAGCUAAUACCGCAUACCAUCAGAUGAACCCAUAUGGGAUUAGCUUGUAGGUGAGGUAACGGCUCACAUAGGCGACGAUCCCUAUCUGGUCUGACAGGAGAAUUUGCCACAAUGGGACUGAGAAACGGCCCAGUCUCAGACGGGAGGAAGCAGUGGGUAAUAUUGCACAAUGGGCGCAAGCCUGAUGCAGCCAUGCCGCGGGUAUUAAGAAGGUCUUCGGGUUGUAAAGUACUUUCAGGCGGGAGGCGUUACCGACAGAAGAAGCACCGGCUAACCCCGUGCCAGCAGCCGCGGUAAUAC